UACGUAGGGUGCAAGCGUUAAUCGGAAUUACUGGGCGUAAAGCGUGCGCAGGCGGUGAUGUAAGACCGAUGUGAAAUCCCCGGGCUUAACCUGGGAACUGCAUUGGUGACUGCAUUGCUAGAGUAUGGCAGAGGGGGGUGGAAUUCCACGUGUAGCAGUGAAAUGCGUAGAGAGUGUGGAGGAACACCGAUGGCGAAGGCAGCCCCCUGGGCCAAUACUGGACGCUCAUGCACGAA
rnacentral:rRNA from 1 species